UGUUCCUAAGGGCCCGAUUUAAAGUGACGCUUUUGCCUUCAUUUGAGAUUUUUUUGCGGUUCUGCCACUGAGCUGUUCUAGAAUCAGUUUCUUCUUUCUUCUUCGGCCAUCGGAUUCUUCUCUCUUCUGUUGGUUUCUCUCUUCCUCCCUUCUGCCCGCCCCUAGGUUCAUCAAGCUAUCGCCAUCGAAGAAGUACAGCAACACUGCAACCACACAUUUUCGCAGCAGGAGAUAGUUUCUCUGUACGAGAGGUUCUGUCAGCUCGAUCGCAGCGGUGGAGGUUUCAUCUUCGCCGACGAGUUUUCUGUCCGUACCGGAAUUCGCAGUCAAUCCUCUCUCUCAGUUUUGGCUGGGUGGACGUAGAUACGGGGGGAGAGGGAUUGGAGCAAGACCUUAUAAGCAAGAUCUUCACUUCUUUUUCGUUUCCAGGACCCUCUAUCAAUAUAUAUCAGCACUUCUGUUCGCCGACAUCAGAAACAUCCAUCAACAUCAAUACCUAUCACGGCCUGCUCCCAAACUGAGAGAGGAAGAUUUGACUAAAAUCAAAUAGUAAAGGAACUUACUGAUUCGGCGAAGCACAAGAGAACGGCUUUGAGUCUGAGUUUAUUUGAGGGUCUUUACUUACAGAGGUUGCUCUCUAGUAGAAGGGACUGUGGUGUUCUGAUUUCUGCUUUUGAUGGAUUUGGCGAGAGGGAGGAUCGCAGACUCCACCCCUGUAACUAUAUCUAAGACGGUCCAACUCUCAUAUACGAAGCUUAUUAAAGGGUGGCUUAACUACUACACGAUGUUGAGAAAUUUGAUUCAUUAAGGGGGUUCAAAAUCUCUACUUAUGUUUACUGGUGGAUACGUCAGGUGAGACCACUCUUUUCAAUUCAAAUGGUCAACAACUUGGUGAGUAGUAAUAUAUAUCAUUUAUCAUGAGAGAUUGAUUCUUUGGCAAGGCUAAAACUGGUAUACAUGUUCUUUGCAUUCCAGGGUGUUUCAAGAGCACUGGUUGAAAAUUCCAGAACCUUACUACUGCCUACACAUUUGCAUGAGAGGUUAGGUUAAUCAAAAAUGCAAAAGUUAGAUUGGAAGAGACGAAUAACUCCAUCUAUCGAUAGGAUUGCAGAAAGCCUGAAUAUGUCCAAAAAGAAAGUUAGGAAGUUACUCAGAACGAAUUACAGCGUCAAGCACGAACCACACUUGCAUCAUGAUAAAUCCACGCAUUCCACAGGCGCAACAAUAUAAAACUGAGUAUCAAGUGCUUGACAAACCAAGAGAGGCCAACACCUUAUGAAAUGAAUAUCUAAAAGCAUCAAAAGUGCGUUCUACCUGCAACCAGUUUUUAUAAAAUUCUUCAAUGUAGACCCUCUUUUGAGUCUCUUUAGCUGGAGAUCCAAACACAAGACACAACUAAAGAAUAGUUUAUCCCUUCCUUGACUCAAAAAAUGGGACAGUGCCUUGGUUGUAUCUGAGCAGACCAGUCUACUAUUGCAAUCAGAAAAACUUUUGGAAAGUUUGAUGAUGUGCUUGAAUCUGGUUGUCAUUGUUUGCCUUGCUGUUGAGGGGCGAACCAUAAUCUGCAUCAAUGUUCAAUCAAAUUGGUGGAACUUCAGAAUAAGAACAAGACACAAAACCUGUAAUUUUCAAGCCAACAUCCAUCAAACAAUUCUCAUUAUUGUCUUUCAUCUAUUGCUUUAUUAAACGAUACAUAUCAAGUUUGAUUUGAAGUUAUUGAUUCCGGUGGAGAAAUUCGUGUAGCAUGUUCAAUUAUCCCAGUAACAUAUAACAUUAAUUCCCGCAGCAAAGCGCGGGCACUCUUC